rnacentral:misc_RNA from 1 species
UAAUCCACAGUCUGCUGAUUUGGUAAAGCUAGAUCGUAGGAAACAAUAGAGGGCGAAAGUAGCGAAAACCAAAAAUUGCGGUACAGAUCAGGAUCUGGAUAAGAACAAUGAAUCGCAGAGAGAUCGACAGCGGCAGUAGACUUUACCAUUUUCCCCUAAGCUCGUAAAUGGAGACUUGAAUUCGUUAAGUAGUAGAGAGCAAGAAGAGAUAGAGAGAGAGAGAGACAGAGAGAAUGGCCAAAAUGCGUAACUGGG